UGUGCUGCUCUGGCUUCAGCUCUGAGAUCAAACCCCUCACACCUGAGAGAACUGAAUCUGUAAUUGAAUAAACUAGGAGAUUCAGUGAUGUUACUCUCUGAUCUGAGGAUGGAUCCACAUUAUAAACUGGAGACAUUAUACUGUUGACUCUCAGUAUUUAGCCGUCAGUCCAGUUUCCUCAGGAUGAGCUGAUGGUGAAUAAGGAGCCGCUACAGAGACGUCACAGUCACACAAUCAACACAGACUGCGUGAUGGGGGUCUUAAAAUUUAGGGAUGUUCAUUUUGGUUAAUUUUCCUGACCGACUCCCAACACUCGUUAACCAAUCGUUCACCGUUAACUGAGAAAAACAUUAGAUUUAAAUUAAAUUGGAAUGGAUAAGUUUUUAUGACCCAUUAACAUACCCAUUCAAAGUAAACCCUUUACAUUUUCUAUUAAUGUCUUAUUCUUAUCUGUAUAACCAAAAUGACAGAGCAUUUCAAGUCAUUUCCACUGUAAUAAGGAAAAAAAUCCAAGUGAUUGCGCCGGAGCCUCUCGUGGGAAACAUUUGUAUUUGUGCAGAAUGAGAUGUAGGUGCAUUUCUCUUUAAAUAAAUCUUUGUUUUUUCUAGA